rnacentral:rRNA from 1 species
GGUUCUCCCCGAAAGCUAUUUAGGUAGCGCCUCGUGAAUUCAUCUCCGGGGGUAGAGCACUGUUUCGGCAAGGGGGUCAUCCCGACUUACCAACCCGAUGCAAACUGCGAAUACCGGAGAAUGUUAUCACGGGAGACACACGGCGGGUGCUAACGUCCGUCGUGAAGAGGGAAACAACCCAGACCGCCAGCUAAGGUCCCAAAGUCAUGGUUAAGUGGGAAACGAUGUGGGAAGGCCCAGACAGCCAGGAUGUUGGCUUAGAAGCAGCCAUCAUUUAAAGAAAGCGUAAUAGCUCACUGGUCGAGUCGGCCUGCGCGGAAGAUGUAACGGGGCUAAACCAUGCACCGAAGCUGCGGCAGCGACGCUUAUGCGUUGUUGGGUAGGGGAGCGUUCUGUAAGCCUGUGAAGGUGUGCUGUGAGGCAUGCUGGAGGUAUCAGAAGUGCGAAUGCUGACAUAAGUAACGAUAAAGCGGGUGAAAAGCCCGCUCGCCGGAAGACCAAGGGUUCCUGUCCAACGUUAAUCGGGGCAGGGUGAGUCGACCCCUAAGGCGAGGCCGAAAGGCGUAGUCGAUGGGAAACAGGUUAAUAUUCCUGUACUUGGUGUUACUGCGAAGGGGGGACGGAGAAGGCUAUGUUGGCCGGGCGACGGUUGUCCCGGUUUAAGCGUGUAGGCUGGUUUUCCAGGCAAAUCCGGAAAAUCAAGGCUGAGGCGUGAUGACGAGGCACUACGGUGCUGAAGCAACAAAUGCCCUGCUUCCAGGAAAAGCCUCUAAGCAUCAGGUAACAUCAAAUCGUACCCCAAACCGACACAGGUGGUCAGGUAGAGAAUACCAAGGCGCUUGAGAGAACUCGGGUGAAGGAACUAGGCAAAAUGGUGCCGUAACUUCGGGAGAAGGCACGCUGAUAUGUAGGUGAAGUCCCUCGCGGAUGGAGCUGAAAUCAGUCGAAGAUACCAGCUGGCUGCAACUGUUUAUUAAAAACACAGCACUGUGCAAACACGAAAGUGGACGUAUACGGUGUGACGCCUGCCCGGUGCCGGAAGGUUAAUUGAUGGGGUUAGCGGUAACGCGAAGCUCUUGAUCGAAGCCCCGGUAAACGGCGGCCGUAACUAUAACGGUCCUAAGGUAGCGAAAUUCCUUGUCGGGUAAGUUCCGACCUGCACGAAUGGCGUAAUGAUGGCCAGGCUGUCUCCACCCGAGACUCAGUGAAAUUGAACUCGCUGUGAAGAUGCAGUGUACCCGCGGCAAGACGGAAAGACCCCGUGAACCUUUACUAUAGCUUGACACUGAACAUUGAGCCUUGAUGUGUAGGAUAGGUGGGAGGCUUUGAAGUGUGGACGCCAGUCUGCAUGGAGCCGGCCUUGAAAUACCACCCUUUAAUGUUUGAUGUUCUAACGUUGGCCCCUGAUCGGGGUUGCGGACAGUGUCUGGUGGGUAGUUUGACUGGGGCGGUCUCCUCCUAAAGAGUAACGGAGGAGCACGAAGGUUGGCUAAUCCUGGUCGGACAUCAGGAGGUUAGUGCAAU